rnacentral:sRNA from 1 species
GCAACGAUGAAGAACGCAGCAAAAUGCGAAACGUGAUGCGAUUUGCAUGAAUCUGUGAGUCAUCUAAUCUUUGAACGCGAAUGGCACUGCUACGUAAGUAGCAGUAUGUCUGUUUGAGAAUCGCAAACACGAUCAACUCUAGUUAAGAGUUGGAACUGACCUCAUGUGCUGCUUUGCUGCAUAUUUGGUUUGAAUAUAUCGAGUUGAUGAGCCUCCCAAUGUUGCUCAAUGUGUGCUAGCGAGACAGUCGUCCCGAUCUCACAUUAAGGCUUCAUUGCAGGGCUCUAUAAACAACUCUAAUUGUUUCAUUAUCAAUUACGAUCUCAAAUCAGACAAGAUUACCCGCUGAACUUAA